UACGAAGGGGGCUAGCGUUGCUCGGAAUUACUGGGCGUAAAGGGAGCGUAGGCGGACAUUUAAGUCAGAGGUGAAAUCCCGGAGCUUAACUUCGGAACUGCCUUUGAUACUGGGUGUCUUGAGUGUGAGAGAGGUAUGUGGAACUCCGAGUGUAGAGGUGAAAUUCGUAGAUAUUCGGAAGAGCACCAGUGGCGAAGGCGACAUACUGGCUCAUUACUGACGCUGAGGCUCGAAAGCGUGGGGAGCAAACAGG
rnacentral:rRNA from 1 species